CGACCAGCCACAUUGGGACUGAGACACGGCCCAAACUCCUACGGGAGGCAGCAGUGGGGAAUAUUGGACAAUGGGCGCAAGCCUGAUCCAGCCAUGCCGCGUGAGUGAUGAAGGCCCUAGGGUUGUAAAGCUCUUUUGUGCGGGAAGAUAAUGACGGUACCGCAAGAAUAAGCCCCGGCUAACUUCGUGCCAGCAGCCGCGGCAAUACGAAGGGGGCUAGCGUUGCUCGGAAUCACUGGGCGUAAAGGGUGCGUAGGCGGGUCUUUAAGUCAGGGGUGAAAUCCUGGAGCUCAACUCCAGAACUGCCUUUGAUACUGAAGAUCUUGAGUUCGGGAGAGGUGAGUGGAACUGCGAGUGUAGAGGUGAAAUUCGUAGAUAUUCGCAAGAACACCAGUGGCGAAGGCGGCUCACUGGCCCGAUACUGACGCUGAGGCACGAAAGCGUGGGGAGCAAACAGGAUUAGAUACCCUGGUAGUCCACGCCCUAAACGAUGGAUACUAUGCGUAUGGGGUAUCGACCCCCCAUGUGCCGUAGCUAACGCAUUAAGUAUCCCGCCUGGGGAGUACGGCCGCAAGGUUGAAACUCAAAUGAAUUGACGGGGACCCGCACAAGCGGUGGAGCAUGUGGAUUAAUUCGAUACUAACCGAAGAACCUUUACCUAGGC
rnacentral:rRNA from 1 species